UGGGAUCGACCAGGAGAAAGAGCUGAGGGGUGUAAACCCUAGCUCUCAAGAACAACAACACAAAUUCAGCCCAAUUAAAGCCAAAAUCGAAUGGAAAGCAUUGCAUAGAUGAAGAUUUCUCACUAUCUAAUCCUAACAAACACAUGGAAAGGUAUCGCAUGAUCAUGGAAGGCAAAUGAGUCAAGAUGAGGCAAGGAAGCGGUUACGAACAUGGAUGCACAAGGAAUGCAGGUAUGUAAGUAUUGCGCUUUCAGAGAUUGGAUGCUCGGUGUGAAGAAUGAACUCAAAAGAAUAUCAUGUUGCAGUUGUAUAAAAUAAUAGAUUGCUAAGUGUUUAUAUUUAUUUUUAUGUCCUUAUACUAAAGUAUAUAAUGUCACCAAUUAUUAACGUGUGACAACCCGCACUUCUGUGGUUAGCACCAUUUAUUCGCAUCUAUAAAUAAUGUUUCAUUAUGAGCUA